UGCAUGCUUUGCAUUCAAGCCUGUGUUACAAAUCUCCUCCUACAUACACUCAUUCAUAUUGUGGGCUCGCUUGCCAGAUGAAUACUUUGUCCCUGAUGUUAAUGUGACUGUGCAGUGACCCUUUCUUAUGUGCAUCUCAGCUGAGAAACAAGGACCUUCACAGCUUCUGUACUUCAGAGGCUGUACAACUCUUCAGACCCCUGGCACGACCAACUUCCACCAAAGGGACCUACAUGGGGAAAAUGAGAAGUGACAUCCACUCUUCCCUUUGCUUGUUAGAGCAACUGCAGUAACGUGAAUGGAUAGUCUCAAAUACAAUUUCCCCUGGAGUGACCAUGAGAAGAUGGGCAAAGAGCACAUUUGUGGUGAUUUCAUGUUAACAGUAAUUGAAAACCCAGAAGAAACUGCAUAUAGAUAAGAGAGAAU
rnacentral:lncRNA from 1 species